ensembl:lncRNA UVRAG-DT UVRAG divergent transcript
UCUUUCAUGACCAGCUCCAACCGACAAGUACACGCCCCUUCGCACUCCACUAGCUAGUAAGCUGAGCUACAAGGUGUGCCAGGCACCCAGGACGCCGAUUCACCGCUUCAGUGAAGGCCCAGCUCAAAUGCCACCUCUUCCAUGAAGACUUCCGUGAUCCACAAUGAUAGCAUCUCCAGCAAUUGCUUCUAUAAUGAAUAGCAUGAGUCAUUCUGCAGGAUGUUGAUCUUCCUUUUUUUACUCCUAGACUGAAUUUUUCCACCACCUGGAUGAACAUAGCAGAAAGAACAUAGUGUUUUAGAGUCAGACACAAUAGGAAUCAGGCACUUUGGAAUCUUGGCUCUACCACCUUUGAGCUAUGUAUCCCAAGAGCCCUCUUUCUUCCAUUCACUUACCUGUCUAGUCAAACACCCAUCAGACCUUUGCCAGGUGUCCAGCCUGGGCACUACGUUUCAGAAAAUGAUGCACAUAGAAUCCCUAACUGAAAGGAGAUCGCAGCUCAUUUGGUACAAAGUGCUUUUAGCCUGGGUAAGGAGCUGGAGAGAUGUGAAAAUGUGGAAAGCAAGCCUAAG